AGGAUAAAGUAGUUGCUGGACUACCCUGCCCUGUUUCUAACAUAACGCCAAAAUAAACUUCACUGUUAGAUUGAAUUAACUCACCCAUCCAGCAGAAAGCCUGUUUUGAUGGCAAGGGCAUU